AAACGACUCUCGGCAACGGAUAUCUCGGCUCUCGCAUCGAUGAAUAACGUAUCGAAAUGCGAUACUUGGUGUGAAUUGCGAUAUCCCGUGAACCAUCGACUCUUUGAACGCAAGUUCGCCCGAAGCCAUCCGGCCGAAGGGCACGUCUGCCUGGGUGUCACGCAACGUCGCCCCCCCUCAAACAAACAGAGAAACAGGAGGGGGCGGAACAUGGCCUCCCGCGAUCCCCCGGUCGCGGUUGGCCCAAAACAAGGGUCCCGGAGACGGCGACCGCGACGAUCGGUGGUUGACAGACCCUCGGAAGCAGUCGCGCGCGGCCGUCCCCAGAGGGAACCCGAAAGGCCCCCGCGCUCCCCCGCCACGGGAACGAGCGCUCCGAUCGCGACCCCAGGUCAGGCGGGACCACCCGCUGAGUUUAAGCAUAUCAAUAAGCGGAGGAAAAGAAACUUACCAGGAUUCCCCUAGUAACGGCGAGCGAACCGGGAAGAGCCC
rnacentral:rRNA from 1 species